rnacentral:rRNA from 1 species
GACGAACGCUGGCGGCGUGCCUAACACAUGCAAGUCGAGCGAGGAGAUUCCUUCGGGAUGAUCCUAGCGGCGGACGGGUGAGUAACACGUGGGCAACCUGCCUCAUAGAGAGGAAUAGCCUCCCGAAAGGGAGAUUAAUACCUCAUAACAUUGCAGUUUCGCAUGGAACAGCAAUUAAAGGAGCAAUCCGCUAUGAGAUGGGCCCGCGGCGCAUUAGCUAGUUGGUGAGGUAACGGCUCACCAAGGCGACGAUGCGUAGCCGACCUGAGAGGGUGAUCGGCCACAUUGGGACUGAGACACGGCCCAGACUCCUACGGGAGGCAGCAGUGGGGAAUAUUGCACAAUGGGGGAAACCCUGAUGCAGCAACGCCGCGUGAGUGAUGACGGCCU